rnacentral:rRNA from 1 species
GACGAACGCUGGCGGCGUGCUUAAUACAUGCAAGUCAACUGAACUUUAGGUAGCAAUAUUUAAAGGGAGGUGGCGCACGGGUGAGUAACACGUAGGUAAUCUGCCUUCAGGACUGACAUAACUCCGCGAAAGCGGGACUAAAAUCAGAUGAUGCAGCGGCUCGACAUCGAGACAGUUGUUAAACCUUCGGGGCCUGAAGAUGAGCCUGCGUCUGAUUAGGUAGUUGGAGGGGUGAUGGCCCACCAAGCCUGCGAUCAGUAGCUGGUCUGAGAGGAUGAUCAGCCACACUGGAACUGAGACACGGCCCAGACUCCUACGGGAGGCAGCAGUGGGAAUUUUGGACAAUGGGGGCAACCCUGAUCCAGCCAUUCCGCGUGAGUGAAGAAGGCCUCGG